UUUAAGCAUAUCACUCAGUGGAGGAAUCCCAAGCAACCGCGAUUGCUGCAGUAACGGCGAGUGAACUGGCAAGGCAUUCAUGGCUCAACCCGAAGGAGGCCGAUGUGUCCCACCCUCCCGCCUCCGCCUCGGCGGGGAGCGGCCGGCUGCUUGUAUGGUCUCGCGCAAGGCUGUGGGUUCUGGAGCGGAUGGCAAGUCUGUGGGCGGGCCGCGGUGCCUGGAAUGGCCCUGGAAUGGCUGACGAUGGAGGGCUACCGUCCCGUACACCCGGCAGAGCGCGCCGCGGCCUCCCAUGGCCUGCCGUCCGUAUCCCCGAGUAGAGCGGCUUGGGACUGCAGUUUGAAGCGCGGGGUGUAUCCCCCGCAAGGAGCAAUACCACCGUGGGACCGAUAGCGCACAAGUAGAGUGAUUGAAGGAUGCAAAGAACUUUGCAAAGAGGGUUCAAAGUCCCUGAAGCCUUGGCAGGAACGGCGGUGUGCGGGGCCGUGGACCCUUCUGUUUCCACAGAGCUGUGUGCGUCCCAAGCGGCCUCGGGCCGGCCCGGUGUGAGCCAUUGAGCCCUCUCCUCCGGGAGGGGAUGCAAUCGUGGUGACACCGCGGUGGCAGUCAAGCCUGCCAGGGCCCGGGGCUAUGUCGAACCGUGUGAACGCUUCCGAUGCUGUGCAACGCCUCCUGGCGCGUCUUCGGGCGGGCCAGUCACCGUCACCCAGUCACGGUCUGGGGCCGGCACGGGCCGGGGUCUGCAUCCCCCCGCGGGAUGGACCUCGGCCCGCCGCCGCGCGCCCCCCGGAUGGUGUGCGGUGCAGUCCAAGGCAGCCGAGCUUGGUGACAGCGGCACCGCGCUCUGCCCGUCUUGAAACACGGACCAAGGAGUCUAUGGAGCCUGCGGGCCGGCCGGUGUUAGCAUGGCAACCCGGUCUGAGGCCACGGUGAAAGCAACCCGGCCCCGAUGUGCAAGCUGCCAGGGCCACCGGCCCCAACGUCCAGUGGACUGGGUUUUGAGUGCGUGCAAGGUCCAUGGGACCCGAAAGGUGGUGAACUAUACCGUUCCACGGCGAAGCCAUGGGAAACCGUGGUGGAGGCCGGUCGCUGUUCUGACGUGCAAAUUGUGUAGCCUGAGCGCGGCAUGGGGGUGAAAGGCCAAUCGAGCCACCUAGUAGCUGGUUUCCCUCGAAGUUUCCCUCAGGAUAGCUGGGCCCGGAGUGCAAACCCGGCCGAGUGGUUACGUCCGGUAAAGCAACGCAUGAGAGGCAUCCGCUGGGGGCCCGUGCCCCUAGACCUAUUCUCGAACUGUGAAUGGGCGUGGCAAACCCAAACCGAAAGGCGUGCUCCUUCACCCCGUGCCGGAGUCCGGGGGUGUCCCCUCCGGGGCCCCUCGGUCCUCCUCGGCCUUCUGAGCGUGUUCGUGGCGGCCCCGAAGGUCUGUGCAACGCGGCCCCGGAGGCCCGGGGAGUGGAUGUGUGUGUGUGACGAGGGGGGGAGUUGUGUCCCCUCGGGGUGGACCUCUGAGUCGCCCCACGUUGCGCAUGUCCCUCCCGGUGGCCCUCCCGCCGUCCCCCCCCGCGGGGGGCGGUCCAAGCCCGGUGAAGCUUCAUGUGACCCGAUUGGAUUCGUGCGCGCGCACACGCUGCCGCCGUGGUGAACAAAGCGGGCCUAUGUGGGCCAAGAUUGGUAAGCAGUGCUGGCGAUGCGGGGUGCUCCGAGAGUGGACUUCCAGAUCCCGAGUGCUGGCUCAUACUCAGAUCCCACAAAGGAUGUCGUCUGCUACGGAUAGCAGGACGGUGGCCAUGAAGGUUGGAACCCGCUAAGGAAUGUGUAACAACUCACCUGCCGAAGUGCGCGGCCCCGAAAAUGGAUGGUGCCCAAGCCAGUGAAGCCGAACUUGCCUCACAGUCCGCCGCCGCUGUGGCAGCAUUGAGCAGAGCAUCGUUGUGUAGAAAGGACGCGGGGGCCCGCUGCGCCCGCCGGGGGUGAACCCCGGCCGGAGCGGCUUCCGGCGCAGAUCUUGGUUGUAGUAGCGAGUACUCCAUCUGACGAGGGGCGGAAAGCCCGCCGCGCGUGGUUGAGGACUGGAGUGGAGAAGGUUUCCGCACCAAACAGCCGUUGAAUGCGGGUCAACCGACCGUGAGCCAAGUGGUAAAGUCACCGGACAACCAAAGCCGCCGUUCCCGCCGUAGCUCCGAGGGGGUUGUGACCCCGGCGCGGUCCCGAGUCCCGGCCCCGACCGCCCGGCCCCUUGGAGGCGGCACGUCCCUGGCGGGAGUGGCGAACAGGCAAGCGCGUUGCAACAUCCCGCUGUGUUGGGCCCGGGGCCCCCGUGAUACCUCUCCCGAACGGUGGUGACGCCGAGUGACCAGAGCAAGCAGGCCGCGGGGCGGUGCACCCCCCGGGGAGUUCUCGUUUCCUCCUGAUGCAGACCCAUGUGGGCUAGCAAACCCGGCGUGCCAGAUGGUGACCUACGCCCCCCGUCCAGCAAGGCGGUGCACCUCGUGUGCGCUGGUGGGCCCUUCCCGGUGGAACAUGUGUCAGAGCCGCAAGGCGGACGCCCCCAGGCGCUCCCCCCGAGGUUCAACUCUCCCAGACCCCGGACUCCGGUGGUCACCGGCUCCACUGAACAGCCUGCGGGGACCCCGUGCCCCUGGUCCCUUGAUGUCGUACCGAAUCACCGCAKCCGGUCUCUCCGGCUUGACGCCGCUGGUCGAACGGAUCGAAUGCAGCUAAGGGAAGUCGGCAAACUGGGCACGUACCUUCGGAAGAUGUGUUGGCUCCAGAGGCCAAGGUGCCGGGCCUCGCCCACGGACGGCUGCUCUCGGUGGGGGGCCCGGCCGCCUCCCCGCCCAGCCUCGGCUGGGACCCGGGAGGCGGGCGGCCCCUGCCGGGCGCCGGCCCGUGGGGAGGGGUCCUCCGGGGCCCGCCCCGGUGCCUAUCGGAUGGCCACCAUGGAACUGUUGCUGUGCAGGGGAAUCUGACUGUUUAAUUGAAACCCAGCUUUGUGACGGGACCGGCUGGCCGGUCCCAUGAGGUGACUUCUGCCCAGUGCUCUGAUUGUCAUGGCGAAGAGAUCCAGCCAAGCGCGGGUAAACGGCGGGAGUAACUAUGACUCUCUUAAGGUAGCCAAAUGCCUCGUCAACCAAUUAUUGACGCGCGUGAAUGGAUCAACGAGAUUCCUGCUGUCCCUAGGUGCUGUCCGGUGAACCAACAGCCAAGGGAACGGGCUUGGAUGUG
rnacentral:rRNA from 1 species